CAUGGCGGACUUCUAACGAAAUUCGAUACAUCGAACCACCGAACGAUUGUUCGCGUAUGAAUGAAUUUCGCAAAGGUAUACAAGUGCAAGUAUUGUUCGAUGGUUUUGAUUAGGAAAGCAUACAAUCCGUUAGUUCGAGGAGGUACGCUUAUUAUUCACGUGAUUCGGAGAAACGAAAAUGGCGACCACCUUACACGAUUCCUUCGAGCAUAAGUAGCCCCCGACAACAAAUCACAGAUUAGAUACAUCAUUGCAAUCAAUGAUUGUAUGGAAAUUAACAUUUCUCACUCGAAUGAAAAAUCAGUUUGCGUUAAAUUGACUUAGGGAAGGAGAGUAAAGGAAAGCCACGAGCAACAGGUUGGUACGAUCGCCUGCGGAUGGUGAAACGGGAGAACGAGAGGUGACUAUGUAUAGACAAAGAAGCAGAAAACGGGAAAGCAAUCGUCGUUUGGAUAUGGUAGGAAUAUCCGUGAAGCGAAAUGCUUAGCGCUACGUAAGAACGACGAUGUCGUGACAGGGAGAUCGGAUUGGUCGCUCACCUGUUGCUUACCAACUGUGAUUGGUUGAGCUCGACAGCGCGUAACGACGACCGGAGGAGGACAAGUGCAUCAUCGCUUGUUCUAUGAUGGACCAAGUUCGAGAAUUAGACGCUAUAAGGAUGUCGAUUUCUAACAUUAGUUACACAUAUAUUUAUGCAUACAUGAAUAGGAUUCGAUUGACAAAGAGCUGAUUACUCUUCAGAAAAUAUAUUGAAGGAAAUUCAGUUUGAAAAUUCAUCGAAAUACUUAGGAAAAUAUACAGGAUGAAAUAAAAUCCUAUUUUAAGGCAAAAUUAAUGUAAAAUGAACCAUGGAUAUUCUAAAAACAGAUAAGGAUGAAAAGAACAGCGUCUGGCGAUGGCGGAAGAGGACGGAAAGAGAGAAGUUCCUCGAGUUAGGGACACCUGUCAAACACCUGCUUUUUGAAGAUCCCAAAGUUGACCCUGGCUAGUUCCAUGCCUAAAGCUGUAUAAUAUAUUGCCAAGGGUGCUUCUGUAAUUUAAAGCCGAUCUAAAAUAAUGAAAUUCUCUCAAAAAGGAUUAUAUGUGAUGCUUUCGAUUUCCCAUAUGAGACCAUUGCCACUUUUUAAAAACAACUCAAUUCCUUUAUCGAAGAAUUAAAUAGUUGCUAAGUUUUUUAUGCUCUUUUACGAUAGGAGGAAGGGGAGCGGAUUCACCGUUGCACAGAACUUUCUCUCGGACUGAGGAUUAUAUUCGUGCCUUUCGUACAUGUAUCUGUACAUAACUUUCAAAGCAUUGCAAAUCACAACGAUUCUUCCGCGAUUGGUGUUAUAUUUAACAUAGGACUUCGGUGCAAGGCUGAAUUGUUCGAGGGAAAUGUGACCCAAUUUCCCUUACUCGCCCUGAUACCUUCCAAAUGUCGAAGUAUAAAAUACAUAAAGUUCCACUAAUACGAAAAGGCAACCGUGAAGUAUCAUGAUAAAGGAAAGGACACGAGAAGAUCAGUCUGCUGUCUUCCUUCCUACCUCUGCUUGGUUUAUCAGAGAACAGGAUAUUGGACUUAUACGACCUUCAACAAUUAGAAGCUGAAAUAGAUGAGCAUCCCUUAAGAUAUAGCUAAUGAAAUAUUGAAACAAAAUUUUAAUAAUAUAUUCUUGAAAAUUUGGAGAGUUUCCCUGAUAUGAGGACAUCCGUCUCUUCCACUUUGGUGAUCAAAAUAACAAUUUUGAUAAAGUGUUCGCAAGUAUUUGAUCUAUGAAACAAUGCAAGUGAUAAUAUCAACGACUACGAGUUGGUAGAAACAACUAGGGACGAGAAUAUACCGUUGGAAUCAUCAUCGUCUUUCCUUUGCUCUCUCUCGCUCUGUAGCCAAGAUUCAAGAUCUAUUUGGUAACGGUACAUGCUCAUUCUUCAAAACUAGAUUGAUUUUCCAUCAUCGGUACAUCAAUAUUCGCUUCAUCUAAUCAUAAUUAUUCAAGAUUUUCGUAAUGGUUCUGUAGAAAAGUUGUUUGGUCGUUUCUUCUCCUACUACGUUUUUACUUCUACCACCACCAUUGCUACUACCACCAUUGAUCACCACCUCCUUCACUCCACAAACCAUCCGUCGGGAACCUCGGCUCCUCCCGCUGCGUGGCUCAAUUAUUUUCAUCAUUACGACCGCCCUCUUAGGUGGUAACUUUAAUUUCUGCCUAUGUAUAGCUAUUUAAAGAAAAAGAUGUUUAUUUAUUAACUUAUUAUUAAAUUAUUGCCACCUA